rnacentral:rRNA from 1 species
ACGCACGCUGGCGGCAUGCCUAACACCUGCAAGUCGAACGAGACCUUCGGGUCUAGUGGCGCACGGGUGCGUAACGCGUGGGAACCUGCCCUUAGGUUCGGAAUAACUCCCCGAAAGGGGUGCUAAUACCGGAUAAUGUCUUCGGACCAAAGAUUUAUCGCCUUUGGAUGGGCCCGCGUUGGAUUAGCUAGUUGGUAGGGUAAAAGCCUACCAAGGCGACGAUCCAUAGCUGGUCUGAGAGGAUGAUCAGCCACACUGGGACUGAGACACGGCCCAGACUCCUACGGGAGGCAGCAGUGGGGAAUAUUGGACAAUGGGCGAAAGCCUGAUCCAGCAAUGCCGCGUGAGUGAUGAAGGCCUUAGGGUUGUAAAGCUCUUUUACCCGGGAUGAUAAUGACAGUACCGGGAGAAUAAGCUCCGGCUAACUCCGUG